rnacentral:ncRNA from 2 species
GAAUAAAAAUGGCAAAACUAGGGAAACUUAGUGACGCAAAACUACAGGGGCUAAAAUAAAUAUUAUGCCAGCCAGUUGCCGAA